rnacentral:rRNA from 1 species
UACGAAGGGGACUAGCGUUGUUCGGAAUCACUGGGCGUAAAGCGCACGUAGGCGGCUGUGUCAGUCAGGGGUGAAAUCCCGGGGCUCAACCUCGGAACUGCCUUUGAUACAGCACGUCUCGAGUCCGGAAGAGGUGGGUGGAAUUCCUAGUGUAGAGGUGAAAUUCGUAGAUAUUAGGAAGAACACCAGUGGCGAAGGCGACCCACUGGUCCGGUACUGACGCUGAGGUGCGAAAGCGUGGGGAGCAAACAGG